rnacentral:rRNA from 1 species
CCCGCACAAGCGGAGGAGCAUGUGGUUUAAUUCGAUGAUACGCGAGGAACCUUACCUGGGCUCAAAUGUAUGUUGACGUAUUCUGAAAGGGAUACUUCUUCGGACAAUAUACAAGGUGCUGCAUGGUUGUCGUCAGCUCGUGCCGUGAGGUGUCGGGUUAAGUCCCAUAACGAGCGCAACCCCUAUCAUUAGUUGCCAUCAGGUCAAGCUGGGGACUCUAAUGAAACUGCCUACGCAAGUAGUGAGGAAGGUGGGGAUGACGUCAAAUCAGCACGGCCCUUACGUCCAGGGCUACACACGUGCUACAAUGGCCGAUACAGAGGGCAGCUACCUGGUGACAGGAUGCAAAUCUCCAAAGUCGGUCUCAGUUCGGAUCGGAGUCUGCAACCCGACUCCGUGAAGUUGGAUUCGCUAGUAAUCGCGCAUCAGCCAUGGCGCGGUGAAUACGUUCCCGGGCCUU